AUGUUGCUGGUAGAAGCCCCCUGUGAGGUCACAAAGCCAGGCCCUGGUGUGCAGUGUAGGUUGGGUGUCACGGGCUUCAGCAGCAGUGGCAGGAGCAGCAGCAGCUGCAUCAUGGUGCAGGCACGGUGGGCCCUAACUCUUGUCCUCCUCCUGGUGGCCCUCCCAGCCCAGGAUGCUGGGGCUGCUCCACGGCAGGCACAGGCAGUGGGUAGGUGGGCAGGCCAGGGCCAGCACCCAGCUCUGACAGAUCCUGAUGAGCAACAGCAACUUGGAAUUCAGCUGACACACUUUCUCUCUAAAACACCCGAGCGUGAGGCUGUGCCUCAGGAGGAAGCACCUCAGGAAGGCCGUCAGGCAGUGCCAGUCCCUGAGGAAAACACCAGGGCCUUUCACACAACGAGUGUGUCAGGUCCAGAGUAUCAAGAUGGAAGGAGACAAUCUUCCCUGGAGACAUCCAAAGUGCUACAUGAAAUCCUGAGGGAGAUGAGGGUGAUACUAGCAGGUGUGAAGAGCCUGAGCCUCAACAGCGCUGUCAGCAGGAGAUCCACCAGCACUGGGAAUGGCAGAGCAGACCCAGCCGAUGAGGAUGAUGAUGAGGAUGAUGAUGUGGAUGGUGGGGCAAAGCCAUACCUUGUAGUGGGCAGGGCAGACCCAAAUGCUGUGGAUGCUGAUAAUUUCCAGAAGUACUGCAUCGAAGGCAUCGUGGCGGUCCUUGGCUCGAUGCUGCUGGGAAUGGUGCUGUGUUGUGUACUCCACGUGUGGAGGAAGAGGAGAAAGCGCCUCGCAGCUUCCAAAGCCAGUUCGGAGCGCCCAGACAGCCGGACAGAAGCCAGCAGAAUAUUUGCAGGAGUAUAAAUAAAGAUCAGCAGCACAAUCAACUGUGUUCUACUGGCAGCAAACUCCCAUGAGUGCCACUACACCCUUCAGAACCCUGGGGGUCCCCUGGGUUCUGAGGGGGUGUGGGGGGCCCCACGACGCCACUGAAUCUAACUUGCCACUGAUUCUAAUUUUUUCUAAUUUGAUUUUCACUGCAUGAUCCAUGCUGUAAGCAAUACAGUGUCCCCGGACAUCACAAUUUGUUGUGUUUUUGCAAAUUCAUAUUAAUUCCACCUGAACAUGAGGAAGAACUUUUCUGUGCAGGUGACCAUACACUGGAACAGAUUACCCAGGUUGUGGAGUCUCCCGUCUCCCCCAUCUGUGAUAUUCCAGAACUGUCUGGACACAGUUCUGUACAAUGUGCUCUGGAUGACCCUGCUUGAGGAGGGAGGUGGGACCAGAUGACCCCACUGUUGUUCCGUUCAACCUUAUCCACAACGUGAUUCAAGUUUGUUUUCACUCAUACCUUUGCCAGUGAUUCACCAGCAUGCAGUGAGUGGAAGGGGUCUCCCAUGCAGGGGAGGCACCCAGUGAGAUUUUUUCAUAUGCUUGGGCACCAUCUCCUGGAGAGAUGCAUGGCGAGGAAAGGAGCCGGGUGAGUGAGCUGGGGCAGACCUUGACAGGGCUUUUUCCAUCCCAGCUUACUGGGACACCAGGAAAAGGUGGGCUGCUUGUGCAGGCAUCCCCUGUGUCUGGCUGCUGUCCAGAACAGGCACUGAGUGCUUCCCAGCCUCCAGCAACACUUAGACCCAGGAAUAUUAUAUAUAUAUUCUCUUCUAUACCUUCUGCCAUGACAUGUUAACACUCUGUAGUUCAUGCAUUUAUUCUGAACCUGCUUUCCUGUUGCUCCAAUUAACCAAACUAUUCAUGAAUCUGGAUCAAUUAAGUUCUCACAGACCAUGACUGCACUUACAGUGCCCAGUUGGUGAUAUUCUGAAAUUUAGCCUUCUGAUUUCUCAGGACCAGCUGGAACACAAGGGGGUUUGUUUCCUGCCAAAUUUCUAAACUCUUGCCAGUGGACUGUGGCAGUGGUACUAGAGGGCUCCAGAGCCCUUCGAUUGGCAUUGCUUGUUGUGACAUCCCUGACCUGCCCUCCUUAUCCCUGUGCACCCAGCCAUCCCUGCUUUGGCAGUGCCAAAGAGACACCUGGG
rnacentral:lncRNA from 13 species